CCAAGGAGUNUAACAUGUGCGCGAGUCACAGGGUGCUCGCAAAACACAAAUCGAACCCUGAAGGCGCAAUGAAAGUGAAGGUCGGCCGAGCCGCUGACCGAGGCGGGAUCCUUCCGGGCAUUCGCCGCGGUGUUUUUUUUUUUAAAAGGAAAAAAGCGUCCGCUGGGAACUCGGGAGGCGCACCGCCGGCCCGUCUCGACCGCUUCUUGUCGGCGAGGCGGAGCAAGAGCGCACACGUUGGGACCCGAAAGAUGGUGAACUAUGCUCGGGCAGGACGAAGCCAGAGGAAACUCUGGUGGAGGUCCGUAGCGAUUCUGACGUGCAAAUCGAUCGUCGGACCCGAGUAUAGGGGCNAAAGACUAAUCGAACCGUC
rnacentral:rRNA from 1 species